rnacentral:lncRNA from 1 species
UGCGGGACUACAAUGACGGUUUCUUUUGAACUUUAAAAAAUAAAUUUCAAAAUCAGCAACAAAAAACUAUUAGACGAAUAAAGUAAAUCAUAGAUUGCAUGUUUAUCAAGGAAAAUAACGACCUUACACAGGUCGUUAUUUUAUGCCUUGGAGCAUAUAUCAUUGAAACAUGGUAUCGUCCGGGUUGAUUCCGAAAAAGAAU